rfam:Brassica napus, WGS project CCCW01000000 data, contig: 24473
GGGUCCAUAGCUCAGUGUUAGAGCAUUCAACUGCAGAUCAAGAGGUCACCGGUUCGAACCCGGUUGGGCCCU